rnacentral:ncRNA from 4 species
UCCUUCGAUGUCGGCUCUUC